rnacentral:rRNA from 1 species
CCCUAAGAACAUAAUUUAAGGUAAAACCUGCUCAAUGUAUUACUCCAUAAAUAGCUGCAGUCAUCUGUACUAAGGUAGCAUAAUAAAUAGCUUUUUAAUUAAAAGAUAGAAUGAAAGGUUAAACGAAUAAAAACUGUAUCAUUAUUAUAAAUUAAACUUAAAUAAAAAGUUAAAAUUCUUUUAUCCAAAUAAGAAAGACGACAAGACCCUGAUAAACUAAACUAUUUCGCUGGGGCGGCAAACAAAAAAAACCUUAAUUUUUAAAGACAAACACAACUAAAAACAUUAAUUAAGAAAAAGUUACUACAGGGAUAACAGCGCAAUUUUUUUCUAGAGUUCCAAUCGUAAAAAAAAUAUACGACCUCGAUGUUGAAUUAAUUAACACUAACGAGGAGCAAAAUCCCACAAAGGUAGUCUGUUCG